rnacentral:rRNA from 1 species
CAGUCGCCGCGGGAAUACGAAGGGGGCUAGCGUUGUUCGGAAUUACUGGGCGUAAAGCGCACGCAGGCGGCUCGAUAAAUUAGAGGUGAAAGCCUUGGGCUUAACCUGAGAAUUGCUUUUAAGACUGUCGAGCUAGAAUCCAGAAGAGGGUAGUGGAAUUCCGAGUGUAGAGGUGAAAUUCGUAGAUAUUCGGAAGAACACCAGUGGCGAAGGCGACUACCUGGUCUGGCAUUGACGCUCAUGUGCGAAAGCGUGGGGAGCAAACAGGAUUAGAUACCCCAGUAGUCCCUGUCUCUUAUAC